rnacentral:rRNA from 1 species
CCUACGGGUGGCAGCAGUCGAGAAUCAUUCACAAUGGGGGAAACCCUGAUGGUGCGGCGCCGCGUGGGGGAAUGAAGGUCUUCGGAUUGUAAACCCCUGUCAUGUGGGAGCAAAUUAAAAAGAUAGUACCACAAGAGGAAGAGACGGCUAACUCUGUGCCAGCAGCCGCGGGAAUACAGAGGUCUCAAGCGUUGUUCGGAAUCACUGGGCGUAAAGCGUGCGUAGGCUGUUUCGUAAGUAGUGUGUGAAAGGCGCGGGCUCAACCCGCGGACGGCACAUGAUACUGCGAGACUAGAGUAAUGGAGGGGGAACCGGAAUUCUCGGUGUAGCAGUGAAAUGCGUAGAUAUCGAGAGGAACACUCGUGGCGAAGGCGGGUUCCUGGACAUUAACUGACGCUGAGGCACGAAGGCCAGGGGAGCGAAAGGGAUUAGAUACCCCAGUAGUC